GAAGCUUCUUGGCUCCCUGAGCUAAGAUCAUGUGUAGUAUCUGUUAUUUGCAGUGUAAUUUCUGCAACGGUCUCUAAACUGAGACCAAUGAAAUUUUGUGCGUCGGUGGCACAGUGGUUAGGACUCUUG
rnacentral:snRNA from 1 species